rfam:Ovis aries breed Texel chromosome 2, whole genome shotgun sequence.
UCCCUGGUGGCUCAGAUGGUAAAGAAUCUGCUUACAAUACAGGAGACCCAGGUUCAAUCCCUGGGCUGGGAA